GACGAACGCUUGCGGCGUGCUUAACACAUGCAAGUCGAACGGAAAGGCCCUGCUUUUGUGGGGUGCUCGAGUGGCGAACGGGUGAGUAACACGUGAGUAACCUGCCCUUGACUUUGGGAUAACUUCAGGAAACUGGGGCUAAUACCGGAUAGGAGCUCCUGCUGCAUGGUGGGGGUUGGAAAGUUUCGGCGGUUGGGGAUGGACUCGCGGCUUAUCAGCUUGUUGGUGGGGUAGUGGCUUACCAAGGCUUUGACGGGUAGCCGGCCUGAGAGGGUGACCGGCCACAUUGGGACUGAGAUACGGCCCAGACUCCUACGGGAGGCAGCAGUGGGGAAUAUUGCACAAUGGGCGGAAGCCUGAUGCAGCAACGCCGCGUGCGGGAUGACGGCCUUCGGGUUGUAAACCGCUUUCGCCUGUGACGAAGCGUGAGUGACGGUAAUGGGUAAAGAAGCACCGGCUAACUACGUGCCAGCAGCCGCGGUGAUACGUAGGGUGCGAGCGUUGUCCGGAUUUAUUGGGCGUAAAGGGCUCGUAGGUGGUUGAUCGCGUCGGAAGUGUAAUCUUGGGGCUUAACCCUGAGCGUGCUUUCGAUACGGGUUGACUUGAGGAAGGUAGGGGAGAAUGGAAUUCCUGGUGGAGCGGUGGAAUGCGCAGAUAUCAGGAGGAACACCAGUGGCGAAGGCGGUUCUCUGGGCCUUUCCUGACGCUGAGGAGCGAAAGCGUGGGGAGCGAACAGGCUUAGAUACCCUGGUAGUCCACGCUGUAAACGGUGGGUACUAGGUGUGGGGUCCAUUCCACGGGUUCCGUGCCGUAGCUAACGCUUUAAGUACCCCGCCUGGGGAGUACGGCCGCAAGGCUAAAACUCAAAGGAAUUGGCGGGGCCCCGCACAAGCGGCGGAGCAUGCGGAUUAAUUCGAUGCAACGCGUAGAACCUUACCUGGGUUUGACAUGGAUCGGGAGUGCUCAGAGAUGGGUGUGCCUCUUUUGGGUCGGUUCACAGGUGGUGCAUGCCUGUCGUCAGCUCGUGUCGUGAGAUGUUGGGUUAAGUCCCGCAACGAGCGCAACCCUUGUUCACUGUUGCCAGCACGUUAUGGUGGGGACUCAGUGGAGACCGCCGGGGUCAACUCGGAGGAAGGUGGGGAUGACGUCAAGUCAUCAUGCCCCUUAUGUCCAGGGCUUCACGCAUGCUACAAUGGCUGGUACAGAGAGUGGCGAGCCUGUGAGGGUGAGCGAAUCUCGGAAAGCCGGUCUCAGUUCGGAUUGGGGUCUGCAACUCGACCUCAUGAAGUCGGAGUCGCUAGUAAUCGCAGAUCAGCAACGCUGCGGUAAAUACGUUCCCGGG
rnacentral:rRNA from 1 species